rnacentral:lncRNA from 1 species
CUCUGUCACAAUAGCUUAGGUGAUUUUUCUUGAUGCAAAGCUCUGAUUCCCACAGGAAUAGAAAAACAGAGAGAGAGAGGAAAAACAAAAAACAAAAAAACAAAAAACACAUCCCUCAAAGACUCCAGAAAGACAAAAACAAAAAUUAGCACUGCUUAGAAAGAAUUCAUAAAUCAUUCUCACGUGGAAACCAAUCCCCUAUCUGAAAAGUCUCUCCAAUGGACAGAAAACCCAAGUGGGUUGACACACGUAUUAGAAUGGAUGGAAUGGUUCAUUUUCAACACGUUUUUGGAUUUCUUUUUUCAUUUUAAAUUUUCAGUUGAGAACAUCUUUUAUGACAGAAAUCCUAUGCAGCCCAUGGAUGGCGUUUGACAAGAACAAGGAGCUCAGUGAUGUAAGUUCAGUGAUAAUCAGGAUUCAGUAUUCAAUGGCAACAGGUUAAUCAAUACACAAAGAGAAAGCAGAGGGGAACUAAAAAGGCAAAAUGAGUGUCCGAUUUCCCGGCCUGCGCAGCUCGCGUGGAAAGGGCAGGGCAGAGUGGCAGGAGCCAGGAGCUGGGGUCAGGUCUGGGAACAGAGGCUCUGUGGGAUGGCGGGCAGGCGAGAAUCCAGAACAGGCCAUGCCACUCCCUUCUAGUGCCAAACACCAUCCAGCCAGGACUGACCAGGAAGCUCUGACCGGCUGGGUUUGAGUGGCGCGAGCCCCACCAAAGCAGAAGAGAGCACGAACAAUCAAGUUCUCCACUGUGUAGCUGCCCUCCCCCAUCCAAGAUCAAAGUGAUGGGUCUUAUAGAGGCUUUGGGACACGUUGUAGUAAGUCUGAGCAGACAGCUGCCGUGAGCAUGCUAUGAGAAAACCCUUCCGAACUGACUGAGGGCUUUACCACUAGAUCCAGCUAAGAUCUGUAUUCGAAUCACGUGUAAAGCUUCUGGGUUUUAAAUACCUCCGUCCAGCAAGUAAACGUUCCCCACUUUCUGUUCCCAGUGUCCUUGGUCAUGGUGCUUUUUGUUGCAUUAAAAGUGCCGGUCAAACUUUGAUAGUAUUUUUUUAUAGUUGGUGCAGAGUGGAAUAACUCAUGGAUUAUUUCAAUAUUUUUGUAAUAAAAAAAUAUAGGGUAUUCAUAUAGGCAUCAUUACUUUUUUUAUAGACCUGGAAUUGUUUAAAAGUACUUUAAGCAUCGUCAUUGCUUGGGAUGUCAGAAAAUGGUCCACAGAUCCCAUCAGCCUACCUUGGCAGAUUGAGAAUGCUUGUCUCUUGCAAAAUCACCCUACUUUGUAAUGCCGGUGCCCAACCUGGCCAGGGGUGCUAUCAGAAUAUCAGGUGACAGGAGAAGCAGCUUAACUAGAAAGGGCUUGUCAAGACUGGCCAAUGUUUCCCAGGAAAUCAAAGAUGUAAAUGAUUCCUUUUUUCCAUCCAUUAUGACAAAGCUGACCACAGUGGAAGAUGUCUUAAACUUCCUUCCCUGGUUUUAUAUUAACCCAAAUAUUAUAUUAACCUAAAUAUUAGUCAAGUCACUUUAAAAAAAAAAAAAGUCAGUUUAAGUUAAUUAUACAGCUAUUUGGACCAUCCAGGUCACUUGAAACAGUCAAGUUCUAAAGUCACCACUCAGAAUCGGUGUGUCAUAAGGAGACGGCUAGUCUUAUCAUGACACCCAUGGGUAGUGACAGAGGGCUCAACCUAGGACUUCUUUUGGUACAAAGCCCCAGAGCAAUGUUUUAAAUGUAGACCAUUUUUAUCAGUAGAUCUAUUUUCCUAGUACUCCACGAUUUGAUCCUCCAAGCAAGAGUCCACUAAAGAAAUAACAAUCUUUUGUUUGGAUGUAAAACCAUUAUCUGGUCACCAGUAAAGGCGCAGGGAGAGGCUCCUCUUGUCAACAAGUGGAGAAAAGAUUCCACUCCACUGUAGAAGGAAAAUAAACAUGAUUGUAUGGGCAAAUUCUUCAGUUGGGGGCAGAACCAUGAGUUAGUUGUUAUUCAUUCCAAGACAAGUUUGAAUUGAUGAUCUUUGGAAAUUGAAUUGCUCAGUUGAACGAUACGUUUGAUCCCAUGAGUAAGUAGCAGAUUUUGGUAAUGUCAGUCAACACAAACCCGACAGCCCCCAUCACUCUUCGAUCAUGGAAGUCCUAAAUGGUUUCUCGACUUGAUCCUUCAUUUAACGUGUGAAAAGUCAAAAUGAGUGCUAUGUGAAUAAAAAAAAAAAUGAUGUAUUGUGCUUUGUCUUGGAGGUGAGAAUGCAGCAGGAGGAUGCAAGAGGUUUGAAUUUAUCAGUGAUUUCCCAAAUACUAUAAAUACUGUGUUACCCAGCUUCCUUGGAGAUUAUGAUGUGUUAGUCAAAAAUUCUUACUAAAGCAAAGACAUCUCCAUGGGGUUAUAAAUCACAAACUUUCUCAACGUGACAAACAAGAAACAAAAAUUAUUUCUGAGGAAAAUCAGGAUUUAAUCUUGCUUCCGUGAUUCAGAAGGCACUGCUUUGCCAGCAGACCAUGUCAUAAUAAGAACUUUUAUUAGUUUCUAGAUACACCAACAACAGAGAGUUUAAAGUAUUACGAUUUAAAAAGACAUCAUCAAUCUAUAGGGAACAAAGUUUGACUUUUGUAUUUAUAUUUAAGUUCUUCUUAAGAUUUUAUUUUCAAUGUACCCAUAAACCCUCCAUAGAGAGUAACUCAAGAAUCCAAAAGGAACAAGCCGUGAUCAGAGACAAACUGGAAAUGCUAGAUUCUUUUUUUAUCUGUGGUGAGUCUACUUGAUUCCUUGUGGGGGGUGUGGAGGGUGCUCUUAGUACUUGAUUUUUGCAUCUGACCAUGACAUUUUCUAAAAGAAAAUAUUAUAAAAUUUUUUUCACUUUUAAAUUAGCAUUUCUAAAUGAUACCUUAUUUAAGAGAAGAAACCUAUGUAUUUUAACCACAUUGAGACUUUAAGUAUUUGUGUGGAAGAAAAAAAAAAUUUCCAUUGUAAGUCAAAAUGUGGUCCCCCCAAAUGACUAUGUCCUUUAAAUAUUUUCCCAUUUCCACUGUCCUACUUAACUAUGUACCGCCUAGUUCAGUAACCUUGACCUCGAAGACACUCUGUUACUAUUCAUUUAGGAUGUUGUUGUGAACUCAACAAAUGAAAUAAAUUCUCCUACUGACAUGGCAAGAACUGGCAAUUCAAGUAUUAGCCAAAGAUAAAACACAGAGAUAAUCUGAAGACAAAAGUAUAUUGAAGUAUUUAUACUUAAUUUCUAAAUGCCCAAUUUUCUUGACUCUAUGAAUAAACGACGUAAUAGCACUAGCCAAUUAAGCAAAUAGGAAUAAUUGACUCCCAAUAACUUUUUAAAAAAACAUCGUAUAUAUGUGUGUGGGGUAUAGAUAACAUACACGUUAUAUAUAAUACAAACACACACACACAGCUAAAGUAGCAGGUGAAAAGAGUAAAGUAUGUAUUGCCCUUCCAUGCCCUAUUGACACAUGAACUUCUAGAUAAAAAGCCUUUUCCCCGCUCCUUUUCAGCGUCAGCCCAAGCUGAUGAGUCCAUGUCUCUAAGACAUCAACACACUUCUGAGCUUCGGUUGGAAAUACCUAGAAUUAGGUUGGAAUUGAGCACUUUUAGCUUGUACAAGCUUUCCCACUCCUCAAGGAUCUCAUCUUUUAAGCAGUUGACUAGAAUAGUUUUGAAUCAUUUCAAAGUUUCUCUCUCUAAAUAGACUGAAUGGAGCAAAGAAAACCCCCAGUGUCCUUAGCAGGAUUACAUAAGGUUAUUUAGUUGCCUUUAACUGAACCAAAUGCCAUUGAGUGGAAAAAAGUUCUGACACACUAUUUGGCCAAGAAUCCAGAAUUUUUUCUUCCAACCAACCAUUUUUCUAGACGAAAUAUCCGUUCCCCUGCAUUCUCAGAAACUUUUGCCGUUAGCUGUUCCUGUUUCUAUAGAAAGCCUGGCUGAGGUGCCUGCAUCUUUAUGUUUCUAAGCAGAAUUCCUUUCAGCCUUUAAAAAAAUAGCUCAGGCUGUCUUUCAGAAAAAAAUAGCUCAGAAGAUGUGAUGGAUGCAGAUCAGCUCACGUUCACUUAUCUUCAGCAACCCGAUGUCACUUUUGAAAACAAUCAAAAUGAUGGCUUCUGCCAGCUUGUGACACAUAAUACUUUUUCUCCCCAUCUGAAGCAGAAGCAGUCAAAGUGGCUAAGGAUGGUCCAUUUCCCUCUUCCACCUCCACCCCACCCCCCAUUUCCAAGUCUCUGGCCCCGACCUUCAUCCCGCUGGGAAACCACCUUGACUGUUGGGUGGCACCCCCUCUCCUCACUCUGGCAGGUGGCACUGUCCACUGCAGAGUGCUCUCUGUGGACAUGUGUCUUGUCCAGCAGCUGUCCUAAAAAUGGGCCCAUGGAAAGGUGCAGUAAGUGUCUGCGAUCACCAGCCUCAAAGCUAAAACUCUGUGGAAUGUGGAUGGAAUUGUAUAAAAACACGAUGAGCCAUUUAAUUUUGCUAAUUGUAGCAAUUAGGCGAGCUCCACACCGCCUGCUCUCACAGCAGAAAGCCAAAUGGAAGAAGUGGCAAACAGCCAUUUACUCACAGAAAUGAGGGGUUCAGAAACUCUCCCUUGAGUGUUUGAGGCAUCACAUUGUUUCCCUAUCCAUCUGAAGCUCUUUCUCUAGAUUCCAUAAGAAAAAAAAAAAAAACAAAAAA